rnacentral:lncRNA from 1 species
GUUAAAAGAUUUUUGUUUUAAUAUUCCUAAAAUGAAGUUUUUAACAAACUUGUAAAAUGUGCAAGGUGCCUAGCUUGGUGUAAGCCUUAUCUUGAGCUGACAUCAUAACGUGACAGGUAGGAAAUUUCUUGGGAGAACUUGUCGGGGCCUGGUGUCUGAACUUCGAUUUACCCAGACAAUAAGAUGAUGAUAAGGUAUCAACGUUGAGAUUAAGCAUUCUUUUUGUGUAAUUCUAUCUAGGUUAGUAUGGAAUUGUACCUUGCCUUUUUAUUGUUCUUUUUCAGAUCUUUCACUGUGUGUCCAGAGGAAAAAUGUAUCUUGUUUAUUCUGCAGGUGUUAUCUCAUCUUCUGAUUUUACAAAGAUGCCAUAUGUAUUCUACUUUAUGAAUUGAAUGGGGAAUGGAAGGAAGGUUAUCUAGAUGAUCUUGCCACAAAUCUGAGUUUGAUUAUUCCAUUAUGAAGAGAACAAAAGGGCGAUGAAAUAAGCGUAACUCUGAAAAUGUGUGAUACUAAUAACCGUAGCUGAUGCUGCAGUGAUUAUCACUUACCUUUGGAGUAGACACCAGCUAUUCUGCUCAAGAAUAUUGCUUUGUUAUAGGAGUCUUUUGGGAGCUGCCCAAACCACUGUACUACAGUCUGGCUCCAUCUUCCUGCAGGACUCUUCUGAUCUUUCUGAAAAGGGUACUUUCUACUCAGACUGUGUAGGAACUGUUCUGGCUUUGCAUAAGGAUUCAGAGCAUUACUUAACUUUGCCAUUUUUCCCUUCAGUGUUCCUGUUUUUCCUCUUGCAGUCUUCUGAGCAGACCUUGCUUUCAAAAGAGACUAGUAGGAAAGGUACUUCAGGAACGGAACCACUUACUAGCUGCAACCUUAAUGCUAGAAAAAAAGGACUAAAAAGCAGGAAUACUUCCUAGAAACAGCUGUGAAAUUAAAAAGGCCACAUCGCAUGUUGCAAAGAAUUCUUCUAUGUUCUCUCAAAGUAAAACAAAAGCAAGAGGAUAGUUGUAUUUGCAAGACUGCUCCCUGCUAGGGAUUUACAACAGGAUCGAUUCCUACAUGUUCGUGUGUUUUCUUUAAUUCAGCAUAUACUGCUUGUCUUCUCCACAAACGUUUUUGCAAAAUUUGUGCAAGGAUGUGGCUCUUAAUACCCGAUAAUGAGGACAAGGAGUGCAGCUUGCCUGUGUUUUAGGUGCAAGAAUUGUUUGUGCCUGGAUCGUGCUUGUCAAAAGACUGUGAUAACAACACCCGGACGCUAUCAGAGUAUACAAUUAUAGGGUAAAGGGUUUAAUCACUUUCUCCUUUUCUGCCAGGUUGCAGCACUUGUUAGGUGAUCAAACUGUGUUAAGAUCAGUAAGGCUUUACUGGGCAGCAUAUGCAGUGAGAAUUUGCAAUUUGAAAGUCUACCAUUCCAGAAAACCUACUUUAUGUAAAGAUUAGUUUUGUCAAAGUUCAGUUAUUUUGCAGAGAAGCAAAAACUGAGUAUUCCUGUGAGUGUUAAACUCUCCUACUCUAGAGACAAAAGUGUUAUUGCUUACAAAGUGCAUUCAAGAAAGGAAUGGAGUUAUAAUCGCAGCUCUGAACACCUUAUUGGUGACAAGGUAAACAAAAUGGAUUUUCAAUUGCUGAUUUCUAAUACAGAGUCAGUUAUGCAAUAUAAACGUCUAAGCUUUUUUCUGUAUCACAGUUUAAGGGGUCAUUGUACCAAAUGGAUAUCAUGAUUUGGGAAUAUUUUGUAGUAUUUCGCUAAACUUAAAGUUUUAAACCUACUGUUAUCUAAAUAAACAUUUGUUUUCUACGUUUUAUUUCA